GAAUACCGCAACAGAGCGGGAAGCGCGCAGGAAAACGCACCGUGUGAGGCUGGGAGGGGAAGGGCAGCGCCCCCCGAUCUCGUGCCGGCCCUUGACCGGGUGCUGCACACAGGGGAAAGCCCCGGAGCCCAGCUUUGGUCACUGCCCAAACAGAAAGCUGCUGAACAGAGUGAAGUUGAGAUUGGGGUGUUCCAACCUAGGUAAAAUUGGGACAGGCAUCAGGUAAGGUAAUUACACAGGGUGGGGAGAGUUUGGUACGGGACGAGUGUGCAGGUAGUUGAAAAUAUUGUCCUUCUAUCGCAAUAAAAAGUAUGGAACAUACCUAAAAUCGAUGGGUUGGUAACAGACAUUGCAGGGAAGCGUCAGGUAGCAAUGGAAGUGUACGGCAGUGUCAGAAGGUUGUGAUGCGCCACCAGGGGGUGCCAGGAGCGGCUUUACCUGCGUCACACCCAGGGUCUGGCAGGUCUACCAGGAUGGGUUUCACUCACUGGUUGUGCAGUUUCUGCCUGGUCGUUAGGGGUGUGCACCCAUUGUUGCACUAAUGAAUAAAAUGCCCUUCACAGAGGUCGUGGCUUGAUUGGAAGUUGUUGAUUUGGGGCUAUUUCUCACAAGAUGCCCCAUGAGUCUUCCCUGCUGCAGGGAAUUUCCAGCUCUCCCUGAGUCUUUCCUCAUAGGAGAUGCUUGAGAGUGGAGACCCCUCCCCAUCUGUGUGUCAUUAGUUGGACUUUCUAUGGCAGCUCCCUGCUCCUGUUGUGCUGCAGAGCCCAGGACUGGACGUGGUUGUGCAGAACAGCUUCACCAGUGCUGAGGGGAAGGUUCUCCAGCACUGACCUGCACCUCAUAACAUAACCCUGGUGGGUGCUGGCCUCCUUUACUGCUUACAAGGGCAGAUUCCUGCUGUUUUAUGAAAGCUUCGUUGAUGUUUUAAAGCCUUCUUGGCUUUCACAAACCACUGAGCAACACUCUGCAUGGAAAUGCAAUGGUGCCAAAACUGUAGGAUGCUGCAGAUGCGUGAGCUGGCACCAACACUGCAAACAGUGGGAAAACCCAGGAGAAAUUGAGAUACCUGAAGAACACAGGGCAAAAGAGUUCCAGAAGAGAAGGAUCUUCCUCCUGCAGUGCUGGCAUCUUCAGCUGAUUCCUGAUAUUUAGCAGGCUUAAAUUUCAACAGCUGAAAACCAAACAGAGGUCUAAUAUUGCAGCUGGAGGGGUUGUGCACAGAAGUUAUUUAAGCACUGAUAUGACACUUUAAUUUGUUGGAACUGUAUGUUAUGUACACUUUGUCAACAAUUAUCAAACUGAAUUUAUUAUCCUUUUUAAAAAUGUAAUCAAUUAUUAAUUGUCAAGCUCAACUCCUGUGCUGGUCACCACCUGUAAAAUCUCACUUUGUGGUAGUCACUGUUUGCAUUAAAGCUUAAGGGACUUAAACCUCA